rnacentral:rRNA from 1 species
AUGGCCAUACCACAUUGAAAACACCGGUUCUCGUCCGAUCACCGAAGUUAAGCAAUGUCGGGCCUGGUCAGUACUUGGGAAGGUGAUCACUUGGGAACACUGGGUGCUGUAGGCU